UACGGAGGGUGCGAGCGUUGUCCGGAAUCACUGGGCGUAAAGGGCGCGUAGGCGGCUUGGUAAGUCGGAUGUGAAACCUCCAGGCUCAACCUGGAGUCGCCAUCCGAUACUGCCAUGGCUAGAGUCCGGUAGGGGCCCACGGAAUUCCUGGUGUAGCGGUGAAAUGCGCAGAUAUCAGGAGGAACACCGGUGGCGAAGGCGGGUCUCUGGGCAGUAACUGACGCUGAGGAGCGAAAGCGUGGGGAGCGAACAGG
rnacentral:rRNA from 1 species